GACGUAGGGCGCGAGCGUUGUCCGGAUUUAUUGGGCGUAAAGAGCUCGUAGGCGGUUUGUCGCGUCUUCCGUGAAAACUGGGGGCUUAACUUCCAGCUUGCGGUGGAUACGGGCUGACUGGAGUGCGGCAGGGGAGACUGGAAUUCCUGGUGUAGCGGUGAAAUGCGCAGAUAUCAGGAGGAACACCGGUGGCGAAGGCGGGUCUCUGGGCCGUUACUGACGCUGAGAAGCGAAAGCAUGGGGAGCGAACAGG
rnacentral:rRNA from 1 species